rnacentral:rRNA from 1 species
GACGAACGCUGGCGGCGUGCUUAACACAUGCAAGUCGAACGAAAAGAGGGAAAGAGCUUGCUCUUUCCGGAAUUGAGUGGCAAACGGGUGAGUAACACGUAAACAACCUGCCUUCAGGAUGGGGACAACAGACGGAAACGACUGCUAAUACCGAAUAAGUUCCAAGGGCCGCAUGGCCCAUGGAAGAAAAGGUGGCCUCUACCUGUAAGCUAUCGCCUGAAGAGGGGUUUGCGUCUGAUUAGCUGGUUGGAGGGGUAACGGCCCACCAAGGCGACGAUCAGUAGCCGGUCUGAGAGGAUGAACGGCCACACUGGAAUUGAGACACGGUCCAGACUCCUACGGGAGGCAGCAGUGGGGAAUCUUCCGCAAGAGGCGAAAGCCUGACGGAGCAACGCCGCGUGAGUGAUGACGGCCUUCGGGUUGUAAAACUCUGUGAUCCGGGACGAAAAGGCAGAGUGCGAAGAACAAACUGCAUUGACGGUACCGGAAAAGCAAGCCACGGCUAACUACGUG